AUGCGUUUCCCUUUUUAUGAGCAACAACUUUUGUCCACCUACAGUUGCAAAAGAUCCAGCCGCAGCAUAGUUUGCAAGUCUUACUUUUUCGAGACAAGAGAAAAUAUAUACCUGUUCUCAUGCAGGAGUUUUUUGCUUCCUGGUAGCAUGGAGGCCAAGCUACAAUGCACUGGUGACGAGCCAAGUAAAAUACCGUACCAGUUGCUAAAGCAGAUUACAAAUGAUUUCGAUAAGGAACGAAUACUUGGGAGUGGUUCAUACGGAACAGUUUACAAGGUAUGGAUAAAACCAUGUUUUCUUCUCUCAGCUUUUCAUGGCUGCGCACUGUCAUUAAACUAG
rnacentral:rRNA from 1 species